rnacentral:lncRNA from 10 species
CCAGCAGCAGCAACUCGCUCAGGUCCCCUUCCACACUGUGGAAGCUUUGUUCUUUUGCUCUUCACAAUAAAUCUUACUGCUGCUCACUCUUUGGGUCCACACUACCUUUAUGAGCUGUUAACACUCACUGCAGAAGUCUGCAGCUUCACUCCUGAAGUCAGUGAGACCACAAACGCACCCGGAGGAACAAACAACUCCAGACACACCACCUUUAAGAACUGUAACACUCACUGCGAAGGUCUGCGGCUUCACUGCUGAAGUCAGUGAGACCACGAACCCACUGGAAGGAAGAAACUCCAGACACAUCUGAACAUCUGAAGGAACAAACUCCAGACACAACAUCUUUAAGAACUGUGACACUCACCGCGAGGGUCCGCGGCUUCUUUCUUGAAGUCAGAGAGACCAAGAACCCACCAGAAGGAAUAAAUUCCAGACACAUUUGGCGACACAGAUGGGACUAUCACCAAGUGAAAGUUAUGAAGGUCAUGAUGGCAGCAACCACAAUGGAUAAAACUUGCAAAGAACCAUGGUGGUCCAGGUCACAUAGGAAAAGUGAGACGGAAUGAUCUGAUAAACUAGGUAAGUUACAGUUUAGAAUGAAGGAAGGAACCAGGUGAGAUCAAGUUGUUUCAGCUCAUAGCUAAAUCUUCCCAGAACGGGUAACAGACAUUAUGUGAGUAAGCCUUCAGAUAAUUUCAGCCCUAGCAUUUUAGCCAUCCCAGUACACACCGAGUGGAGCAUAGAGGAGCUAAUCCUUGCCAAGCCCUGCAGAGUGUAUAUUCAUGAGAAGAAUAGAUGCUGUUGGUGUUAGACCACUAAGUUUUGGGGAGGUUUUAUGCAACAUUAGGUAAUUAGAACACAGAGAAACAGUGAUUUGAAUGACUGUGGACUGCGGACUUGGCUUCAGAUAUAAUGAAGGCCUAUUAGGUACUAUGCUCACUACCUAGGUGAUGGGAUCAUUCAUAGCCCAAAGCUAGAGGCAUC